AUGGAUCCCACUGACCCUGGACCAGAGCAAGACAAGCCGCCGUGUUCGUCACCGAGCUCCAAAGGACGACAGAGACAGAAAAAUAGGAAAUAUUCCGAUUUUGAAACUUAUUCACCGUCUGAUGGGCAAAGUCCCAAAAAAGAACCACAAAGGAGGUUAUCAGCAGCAGGAGGGAGAGGAAGAGGAAGAGGAAGAGGGAGAGGAAGAGGAAGAGGAGCAGCUUUUAAAAGUCCGCCAAAGACUGAGAACGCCUCACGGCAGAUCCAGGAUGUGGGACGAGACGCUGCCGAACAGACGCCUCAGGAUUCUGAUCCUGAACCCUCAGAGGAAACUCCUGAAAAGGUGACGAGGGCCAGGAAGACCCCGGCGAAAAAGACCCCCGCCAAGAAGACCCCCGCCAAGAAAACUCCCGCCAAGAAAACUCCCACCGCCAAUGGGGGGGGCGCGGUCGCAGGAGUCCUGCAGCUGGAAAAUGGAACUCCGAAAACAAAGAGGAAGUACGUGAGGAAGCAGCCGGUCCCAGAACCGCCGUGCGAGGCGCCUGCCGACGAACCCGAGGAGGAGACCACGCCGAGCGGGCGCCAGCGGAGAGGAGCGGCUAAGGCGGCGUUGAAGUACCUCCACAUUUUGGCUAAAGAAGUGCUCAACCACCCCGGGGACGCGUCCGGGGAGCCGACAGACCUCAAAGGGGGGCAAAGGUACGGCGGAGCGUAA
ensembl:lncRNA